AACAAACGCUGGUAGUAUGCAUAACACAUGCAAGUCGAACGCGAGUGCAGCUUGCUGUACUUAAGAGUGGCAAACGGGUGAGUAAUACAUGAGAAUCUGCCUAUUAGUACGGAAUAACAGUUGGAAACAUCUGCUAAUACCGUAUGUAUUCUACGGAAAAAAGAUUUAUCGCUAAUAGAUGAGCUCAUGCUAGAUUAGGUAGUUGGUAGGGUAAAAGCCUACCAAGCCUUUGAUCUAUAGCUGAUUUGAGAGAAUGAUCAGCCACACUGGGACUGAGACACGGCCCAGACUCCUACGGGAGGCAGCAGUGAGGAAUAUUGGACAAAUGAGCGAAAGCUUGAUCCAGCAAUACUACGUGGAUGAUGAAGGCCUUCUGGUUGUAAAAUCCUUUCAGUGGGGAGUAAGAUAUGAAAGUACCCAUUUAAGAAGUCCCGGCUAACUUCG
rnacentral:rRNA from 1 species